UCAGACAAAGUAUAUUCACUGAGCUGCUCU
rnacentral:piRNA from 1 species